UACGAAGGGGGCUAGCGUUGCUCGGAAUGACUGGGCGUAAAGGGCGCGUAGGCGGCGUGUCAAGUCAGGCGUGAAAGCCCCGGGCUCGACCUGGGAACCGCGCUUGAGACUGGCAUGCUCGAGUUCGGGAGAGGAUGGUGGAAUUCCCAGUGUAGAGGUGAAAUUCGUAGAUAUUGGGAAGAACACCGAUGGCGAAGGCAGCCAUCUGGACCGACACUGACGCUGAGGCGCGAAAGCGUGGGGAGCAAACAGG
rnacentral:rRNA from 1 species